UGUCUUCAGGGCGGGGUGCAAGUCCCCACUGGCGGUAAAGUCCGCGACCGGCUGCCGUAUGGCAGGCGCUGAUUCGGUGAAACUCCGAAACCAACAGUCACAGUCUGGAUGGAAGAAGAUG
rnacentral:ncRNA from 1 species